CAGUAGCCGCGGUAAAACGUAGGGUGCGAGCGUUAAUCGGAAUUACUGGGCGUAAAGCGGGCGCAGACGGUUACUUAAGCAGGAUGUGAAAUCCCCGGGCUCAACCUGGGAAUUGCGUUCUGAACUGGGUGGCCAGAGUGUGUCAGAGGGGGGUAGAAUUCCACGUGUAGCAGUGAAAUGCGUAGAGAUGUGGAGGAAUACCGAUGGCGAAGGCAGCCCCCUGGGAUAGCACUGACGUUCAUGCCCGAAAGCGUGGGUAGCAAACAGGAUUAGAUACCCCGGUAGUCCCUGUCUCUUAUAA
rnacentral:rRNA from 1 species